rnacentral:tRNA from 1 species
GUCGUUGUAGUAUAGUGGUGAGUAUCCCUGCCUGUCACGCGGGAGACCCGGGUUCGAUCCCCGGCAACGGGC